rnacentral:rRNA from 1 species
CUUUACUGUAGCCUGGUAUUGGGUUCGGGCUUUGACUGCGCAGGAUAGGUGGGAGACUAUGAAGCUGCCCUUGUGGGGGCAGUGGAGUCAUCAGUGAGAUACCACUCUGUCAAGGCUAGAAUUCUAACCGUCUGCCGUUAUCCGGCGACGGAACAGUAUCAGGUGGGCAGUUUGACUGGGGCGGUCGCCUCCUAAAUGGUAACGGAGGCGCGCAAAGGUUCCCUCAGGCUGGUUGGAAAUCAGCCGAAGAGUGUAAAGGCAGAAGGGAGCUUGACUGCAAGAGCAACAACUCAAGCAGGGACGAAAGUCGGCCUUAGUGAUCCGACGGCGCUGGGUGGAAGGGCCGUCGCUCAACGGAUAAAAGUUA